AGCAGGGUGGAGCAGCCCGGUAGCUCGUCGGCCUCAUAAGCCGAAGGUCGCAGGUUCAAAUCCUGUCCUUGCUU
rnacentral:tRNA from 1 species